CAAGUUUUUAAGGGCGCACGGUGGAUGCCUUGGCACCAGGAACCGAUGAAGGACGUGGGAGGCCACGAUAGUCCCCGGGGAGCCGUCAACCAGGCUUUGAUCCGGGGGUUUCCGAAUGGGGAAACCCGGCAGUCGUCAUGGGCUGUCACCCACUGCUGAACACAUAGGCAGUGUGGAGGGAACGAGGGGAAGUGAAACAUCUCAGUACCCUCAGGAAGAGAAAACAACCGUGAUUCCGGGAGUAGUGGCGAGCGAAACCGGAUGAGGCCAAACCGUAUACGUGUGAGACCCGGCAGGGGUUGCGUGUACGGGGUUGUGGGAUCUCUCUUCUGUCGUCUGCCGGCGACAGGACGAGUCAGAAACCGUUGAUGUAGGCGAAGGACAUGCGAAAGGUCCGGCGUAGAGGGUAAGACCCCCGUAGUCGAAACAUCAGCGGCUCGUUUGAGAGACACCCAAGUAGCACGGGGCCCGAGAAAUCCCGUGUGAAUCUGGCGGGACCACCCGCUAAGCCUAAAUAUUCCCUGGUGACCGAUAGCGGAUAGUACCGUGAGGGAAUGGUGAAAAGUACCGCGGGAGCGGAGUGAAAUAGUACCUGAAACCGUGUGCCUACAAGCCGUGGGAGCGUCGGAUAUGUGCUUGCACAUAUCUCGUGACUGCGUGCCUUUUGAAGAAUGAGCCUGCGAGUUUGCGGUGUGUUGCGAGGUUAACCCGUGUGGGGAAGCCGUAGCGAAAGCGAGUCCGAAUAGGGCGAUUCAGUAGCACGCUCAAGACCCGAAGCGGAGUGAUCUAGCCAUGGGCAGGUUGAAGCGGAGGUAAGACUUCGUGGAGGACCGAACCCACCAGGGUUGAAAACCUGGGGGAUGACCUGUGGUUAGGGGUGAAAGGCCAAUCAAACUCCGUGAUAGCUGGUUCUCCCCGAAAUGCAUUUAGGUGCAGCGUCGUGUGUUUCUUGCCGGAGGUAGAGCACUGGAUAGGCGAUGGGCCCUACCGGGUUACUGACCUUAGCCAAACUCCGAAUGCCGGUAAGUGAGAGCACGGCAGUGAGACUGUGGGGGAUAAGCUCCAUGGUCGAGAGGGAAACAGCCCAGAGCAUCGACUAAGGCCCCUAAGCGUACGCUAAGUGGGAAAGGAUGUGGAGUCGCAGAGACAACCAGGAGGUUGGCUUAGAAGCAGCCACCCUUGAAAGAGUGCGUAAUAGCUCACUGGUCUAGUGAUUCCGCGCCGACAAUGUAGCGGGGCUCAAGCGUACCGCCGAAGUCGUGUCAUUGCAGCAAUAAGCCCCAACGGGUGCUGUGAUGGGUAGGGGAGCGUCGUGUGCCGGGUGAAGCAGCCGCGGAAGCGAGUUGUGGACGGUUCACGAGUGAGAAUGCAGGCAUGAGUAGCGAUACACACGUGAGAAACGUGUGCGCCGAUUGACUAAGGGUUCCUGGGUCAAGCUGAUCUGCCCAGGGUAAGUCGGGACCUAAGGCGAGGCCGACAGGCGUAGUCGAUGGAUAACCGGUUGAUAUUCCGGUACCCGCUGUGAAGCGUCAAACAUCGAGCAUCGUGAUGCUAAGGCCGUGAAGCCGUUCCGGACCCUUCGGGGAAAGGAAAGUGGUGGAGCCGCCGGCCCAAGCGGUUAGUAGGUGAGUGAUGGGGUGACGCAGGAAGGUAGUCCAGCCCAGGCGAUGGUAGUCCUGGGGUAAGGGUGUAGCCCGAGUGGUAGGCAAAUCCGCCACUCAUUAAGGGUGAGACCUGAUGCCGAGCCGAUUGUGGUGAAGUGGAUGAUCCUAUGCUGUCGAGAAAAGCCUCUAGCGAGUUUCAUGGCGGCCCGUACCCUAAACCGACUCAGGUGGUCAGGUAGAGAAUACCGAGGCGUUCGGGUGAACUAUGGUUAAGGAACUCGGCAAAAUGCCCCCGUAACUUCGGGAGAAGGGGGGCCAUCACUGGUGAUCCGAUUUACUCGGUGAGCUGGGGGUGGCCGCAGAGACCAGCGAGAAGCGACUGUUUACUAAAAACACAGGUCCGUGCGAAGCCGUAAGGCGAUGUAUACGGACUGACGCCUGCCCGGUGCUGGAACGUUAAGGGGACCGGUUAGCUCUGUUUCGACAGGGCGAAGCUGAGAACUUAAGCGCCAGUAAACGGCGGUGGUAACUAUAACCAUCCUAAGGUAGCGAAAUUCCUUGUCGGGUAAGUUCCGACCUGCACGAAUGGCGUAACGACUUCUCGACUGUCUCAACCAUAGGCCCGGUGAAAUUGCACUACGAGUAAAGAUGCUCGUUUCGCGCAGCAGGACGGAAAGACCCCGGGACCUUUACUACAGUUUGAUAUUGGUGUUCGGUUCGGCUUGUGUAGGAUAGCUGGGAGACUGUGAACUCUGGACGCCAGUUCAGGGGGAGUCGUCGUUGAAAUACCAGUCUGGUCGUGCUGGAUGUCUAACCUGGGUCCGUGAUCCGGAUCAGGGACAGUGUCUGAUGGGUAGUUUAACUGGGGCGGUUGCCUCCUAAAGAGUAACGGAGGCGCCCAAAGGUUCCCUCAGCCUGGUUGGCAAUCAGGUGUUGAGUGUAAGUGCACAAGGGAGCUUGACUGUGAGACCGACGGGUCGAGCAGGGACGAAAGUCGGGACUAGUGAUCCGGCGGUGGCUUGUGGAAGCGCCGUCGCUCAACGGAUAAAAGGUACCCCGGGGAUAACAGGCUGAUCUUCCCCAAGAGUCCAUAUCGACGGGAUGGUUUGGCACCUCGAUGUCGGCUCGUCGCAUCCUGGGGCUGGAGUCGGUCCCAAGGGUUGGGCUGUUCGCCCAUUAAAGCGGUACGCGAGCUGGGUUUAGAACGUCGUGAGACAGUUCGGUCCCUAUCCGCUGUGCGCGUAGGAAUAUUGAGAAGGGCUGUCCCUAGUACGAGAGGACCGGGACGGACGAACCUCUGGUGUGCCAGUUGUCCUGCCAAGGGCAUGGCUGGUUGGCUACGUUCGGGAGGGAUAACCGCUGAAAGCAUCUAAGCGGGAAGCCUGCUUCGAGAUGAGUAUUCCCACCUCCUUGAGAGGGUAAGGCUCCCAGUAGACGACUGGGUUGAUAGGCCAGAUAUGGAAGCCUGGUAACGGGUGAAGUUGACUGGUACUAAUAGGCCGAGGGCUUGUCC
rnacentral:rRNA from 1 species